rnacentral:rRNA from 1 species
UUCGUAACUUGGUUUCGAUAUGCUUGCAUCGAAGAUGAUUUUAACUAUAAAGUGAGUGGCGAACGGGUGAGUAACACGUGGGUAACCUGCCCAGAAGGGGGGGAUAACACCUGGAAACAGAUGCUAAUACCGCAUAACAAAAUUAACCGCAUGGUUGAUUUUUAAAAGAUGGCUUCGGCUAUCACUUCUGGAUGGACCCGCGGCGUAUUAGCUAGUUGGUGAGAUAAAGGCUCACCAAGGCAGUGAUACGUAGCCGACCUGAGAGGGUAAUCGGCCACAUUGGGACUGAGACACGGCCCAGACUCCUACGGGAGGCAGCAGUAGGGAAUCUUCCACAAUGGACGCAAGUCUGAUGGAGCAACGCCGCGUGAGUGAUGAAGGCUUUCGGGUCGUAAAACUCUGUUGUUGGAGAAGAACGUGUGUGAGAGUAACUGCUCAUGCAGUGACGGUAUCCAACCAGAAAGCCACGGCUAACUACGUGCCAGCAGCCGCGGUAAUACGUAGGUGGCAAGCGUUAUCCGGAUUUAUUGGGCGUAAAGCGAGCGCAGGCGGUCUUUUAAGUCUAAUGUGAAAGCCUUCGGCUUAACCGAAGAAGUGCAUUGGAAACUGGGAGACUUGAGUGCAGAAGAGGAGAGUGGAACUCCAUGUGUAGCGGUGAAAUGCGUAGAUAUAUGGAAGAACACCAGUGGCGAAGGCGGCUCUCUGGUCUGCAACUGACGCUGAGGCUCGAAAGCAUGGGUAGCGAACAGGAUUAGAUACCCUGGUAGUCCAUGCCGUAAACGAUGAAUGCUAAGUGUUGGAGGGUUUCCGCCCUUCAGUGCUGCAGCUAACGCAUUAAGCAUUCCGCCU